rnacentral:ncRNA from 1 species
UGAAUAAUAGUUCAUAAAAUAAUAUAAUAGGUCUUGGUUCUAUUUGGUUGGUUUUCAGAAUACAAGGUAAUGUUUAAAGGGGAUAAAGGGGGCAUUCAUAUGACGACACUGGAGGUGAAAUUCAUGGACUGUCACAAGAAGAACUGCUUAUUACAAAAGCAUUUGCCAAGAAUGUUUCCAUU